rnacentral:rRNA from 1 species
AGUGAACGCUGGCGGUAGGCCUAACACAUGCAAGUCGAACGGCAGCACAGGAGAGCUUGCUCUCUGGGUGGCGAGUGGCGGACGGGUGAGGAAUACAUCGGAAUCUACCUUUUCGUGGGGGAUAACGUAGGGAAACUUACGCUAAUACCGCAUAAGACCUUCGGGAGAAAGCCGGGGACCUUCGGGCCUGGCGCGGAUAG